UACGUAGGGUGCGAGCGUUAAUCGGAAUUACUGGGCGUAAAGCGCACGUAGGCGGCUUUGUAAGUCAGAGGUGAAAGCCUGGAGCUCAACUCCAGAACUGCCUUUGAGACUGCAUCGCUUGAAUCCAGGAGAGGUGAGUGGAAUUCCGAGUGUAGAGGUGAAAUUCGUAGAUAUUCGGAAGAACACCAGUGGCGAAGGCGGCUCACUGGACUGGUAUUGACGCUGAGGUGCGAAAGCGUGGGGAGCAAACAGG
rnacentral:rRNA from 1 species